rnacentral:rRNA from 1 species
AGUCAACAUGCCCAGGGGACGUGGAUAACCUCGGGAAACUGAGGAUAAACCGCGAUAGGCCAAGAUUUCUGGAAUGGAUCAUGGCUUAAAUCUAUAUGGCCCCUGGAUUGGACUGCGGCCGAUCAGGCUGUUGGUGAGGUAAUGGCCCACCAAACCUGUAACCGGUACGGGCUCUGAGAGGAGGAGCCCGGAGAUGGGCACUUAGACAAGGGCCCAGGCCCUAUGGGGCGCAGCAGGCGCGAAACCUCUGCAAUAAGCGAAAGCUUGACAGGGUUACUCUGAGUGAUUUCCGCUAAGGAAGUCUUUUGGCACCUCUAAAAAUGGUGCAGAAUAAGGGGUGGGCAAGUCUGGUGUCAGCCGCCGCGGUAAUACCAGCACCCCGAGUGGUCGGGACGAUUAUUGGGCCUAAAGCAUCCGUAGCCGGUCCUGCAAGUCCUCCGUUAAAUCCACCCGCUCAACGGUUGGGCCGCGGGGGAUACUACAGGGCUAGGAGGCGGGAGAGGCAAGCGGUACUCGAUGGGUAGGGGUAAAAUCCACUGAUCCAUUGAAGACCACCAGUGGCGAAGGCGGCUUGCCAGAACGCGCUCGACGG